ACUCAAAUGAAUUGACGGGGGCCCGCACAAGCGGCGGAGCAUGCGGAUUAAUUCGAUGCAACGCGAAGAACCUUACCUGGGUUUGACAUAUGCCGGAAAGCUCCAGAGAUGGGGCCUCUUUUAGUCGGUAUACAGGUGGUGCAUGGCUGUCGUCAGCUCGUGUCGUGAGAUGUUGGGUUAAGUCCCGCAACGAGCGCAACCCUCGUUCCAUGUUGCCAGCAGGCCCUUCGGGGUGCUGGGGACUCAUGGGAGACUGCCGGGGUCAACUCGGAGGAAGGUGGGGAUGACGUCAAGUCAUCAUGCCCCUUAUGUCCAGGGCUUCACGCAUGCUACAAUGGCCGGUACAAAGGGCUGCGAUGCCGCGAGGUGGAGCGAAUCCCAAAAAGCCGGUCUCAGUUCGGAUUGGGGUCUGCAACUCGACCCCAUGAAGUCGGAGUCGCUAGUAAUCGCAGAUCAGCAACGCUGCGGUGAAUACGUUCCCGGGCCUUGUACACACCGCCCGU
rnacentral:rRNA from 1 species